rnacentral:rRNA from 1 species
CAGCCGCCGCGGUAAUACGUAGGUGGCAAGCGUUGUCCGGAAUUAUUGGGCGUAAAGGGCUCGCAGGCGGUUUCUUAAGUCUGAUGUGAAAGCCCCCGGCUCAACCGGGGAGGGUCAUUGGAAACUGGGAAACUUGAGUGCAGAAGAGGAGAGUGGAAUUCCACGUGUAGCGGUGAAAUGCGUAGAGAUGUGGAGGAACACCAGUGGCGAAGGCGACUCUCUGGUCUGUAACUGACGCUGAAGAGCGAAAGCGUGGGGAGCGAACAGGAUUAGAUACCCGUGUAGUCCCUGUCUCUUAUAA